UUCAGCCUCCAUCCCGACCUCACACCACACCCCACGUUCCUGGGCGGGAUGGAGGUGCGGGGACCCUGGUCCUAGACUUGGCCGGUGAGGAAGAUGGCGACUCCAGGGAUGAGUUGGCAACAACACUAUUACUCGGCGGCCGGGGGGGCGACGAAAUUCUCUUCCUCGGCCGGGACUCAGCCAUCGGCGUUCAGCAUGGACUACAGCCAGGAUCUCCAUUUGAAGAUGAGUAAGAAAAUUGCCCAGCUCACCAAGGUAAUAUAUGCUUUGAACACUAAAAAUGAUGAGCAUGAAUCUUCAAUUCAAGCCCUUCGAGAUGCUCAUGAAGAGGAAAUUCAACAAAUUCUUGGAGAAACAAGAGAAAAGAUUUUGCAGUAUAAAAGCAAACUUACAGAAGAGUCAGAUCUUAAACGAAAGAUCCAAGUUUUAGAGGAGUCACUGGAAGGUCACAAAAAGAUGAAACAUCAGGCUUUAACUGAAUUUGAAGCUUACAAACACAGAAUGGAAGACAUGCACAUUUGUACAGAAGCACAGCAUGUCCAACGGGUGCUAACUAUGGCUAGAGAAGUUGAAGAGAUCAGAAAGAAAUUUGAAGAGAAGUUGGAGAGCUUUUCACAGCUACAAGUACAAUUUGAAAAAGAUAAAUUGCGGGCUCUGGAUAACUUGAAAGCUGAACAUAUACAAGAAAUCCAAGAAAUUCUUCAGACUCAGAAGUGUCACAGUGCCUCAUUAAGUAAGGGGCAGGAAAAGGUGGAAGAACUGCACAGAAUUCAAGUGGAAACCUUAAAUAAAAAACUUGAAGAGCUAAAGCUUGAAAGAAGAAAACUAAUUGAGGAUUAUGAAGGCAAACUGAGUAAAGCUAAGUCCUUUUAUGAACAUGAACUUGAUACUUUGAAACGGUCUCAGCACCUUACAGCUGAUAGCCUUCAUGCUAGUAAAGAAAAAGAAGCAGAUCUGAGAAAGGAAUUUCAGACUCAAGAAACAGCCUUACGUAAGACUAUACUUAAUCUUAGGGCAGAGUUACAAAUGACACUAGAUGAAACUGGAAAUCUUCAUGAAAAAUGCCAUAAGCUUCAAUUAGCACUUGGUACAGCAGAAAACAAUGUUUUGGUUCUUCAAAAACAGCUAGAUGAUGUCAAAGAAGAAGAGUUAACUUUACUAAGCAAACAUAAAGAGGUGGAAAGUGAGCUAGCAGCUGCUAGAGAACGGUUACAACAACAAGCUUCAGAUCUUGUCCUUAAAGCUAGUCAUAUUGGAAUGCUCCAAGCUACUCAAAUGUCACAGGAGGCUACAAUAAGAGAAUUGGAAUCAGAAAAAUCACUGGCAAAGGAGAGAGUAUCCCAGCUCGAAGAAGAAAGAAAUUUUAUGAAAAAUAGAACCCAAAAUAUGGAUGAACAACAGAAAAGACAGAUUCUGGAACUGGAAAUGCAAAUAAGUGAUGUAAAGAAAUCUCAAAAAGAAUUUUAUGAGAAAGAGCUAAGAAAUCUGCAGACUAAAUUGGAAGGGGAAGCAGCACAAUUAAAUGAAGCUCACUCAAAGACUUUGGAAGAAUUAGCAUGGAAGCACCAUAUUGCAAUUGAGACUGCCCACAGUAAUGCAAAUAAGGAUAAGAAAAGGCUACAGAUGGAACUGGAAGAACAGUAUGAAAAAGAAAAAUUACAACUGGAAGGAGAUAAAAGUCAACUUAGACAACAAAUGGAAAGGCUAAAGGAAGAAUUGACAGCCAAACUAAAUAUAGCUAACCAGGAGGUUUCUCGCCUCCAGGAGCUAGUAAAUAAAAGUGAACAAGGUCUUGGUUCUGCAGAAGGGGUUAUCUCUGAUCUUCAGGAUUCCCAUGGACAACUUCAGAAUGAACUAGAUUUCACUAAAGCUAAGCUAAAAGAAACUACAGACUCAUUAUUAAAUCUUGAGAGAGAACUGCAACAAGAAAGACAACAGCAUAAGGCAUUGCUUGCAACCAUGAGGGAAGAUGAGAAGUACAAAGUGGACAAAAUGGCCCAAGACUUAGAAAUAAAAUGGACUGAAAAUCUUAGAAAAGAAUGUUCUAAGCUUCGAGAAGAGUUAAGACGUCAACAUGAAGAAGAUAAAAAGUCAGCAAUGACUCAACUUUUGCAGUUAAAAGAACGGGAAAAGAAUGCUGCCAGAGAUGGAUGGCAGAAGAAGGUAGAAGAUCUCUUAGAUCAGAGGCACUGUCUGGGUGAAGCUUUGCAUAAAUCUAUCAACAAUAUUUCCUUGCUGAAACAGAAUUUGGAGAUGCAGCUUUCCCAGUCUCAGACUUCUUUGCAGCAACUUCAAGCCCAGUUUACACAAGAGCGCCAACGGCUUACACAAGAACUUGAAGAAUUAGAAGAACAACACCAACAAAGACACAAAUCCUUAAAAGAAGCACACGUCCUUGCAUUUCAAAAUAUGGAAGAGACAAAAGAACAAGAGCAAAAGGCACUUGAAAAUGAGUUACAGCAGAAACAUUCAGCUGAGCUUCAGUUAUUAAAAGAUGCACAUAGAAUGUCCAUGGAGGGUUUCAGGAUAGAAAUGGAACAGGAACUUCAAACGCUUAGAUUUGAAUUGGAAGAUGAAGGGAAGGCCAUGCUAGCUUCCUUACGCUCAGAAUUGAAUCAUCAACAUGCAGCAGCAGUGGAUUUAUUAAAGCAUAAUCAUCAACAAGAACUGAUAGCUGCUAAAAUGGAACUGGAGAGAACCUUAGAAAUCAGCAGAAGACAGGAUGAGGAAUAUAUGUGUCGUCUAUCAGAUCUACAAGAGGAACUAAGGCACAGAGAACACCAUAUAUCUGAAUUAGAUAAAGAGAUACAACAUCUUCAUGAUAGUAUAAAUGCUUUAACCAAAGAGUUGGAGUUUAAGGGAAAAGAAAUUCUCAGAAUACGCAGUGAAUCAAACCAGCAAAUAAGGUUGCAUGAGCAAGAUUUUAACAAGAAACUUGAAAAAGAGCUGGAUGUCAUGACAGCAGACCACCUCAGAGAGAAAAAUAUCUUGCGGGCAGAUUUUAAUAAGACUAACGAGCUACUCAAGGAAAUAAAUUCAGCUUUACAAAUUUCACUAGAAGACAUGGAAGAAAAAUAUAUAAAGAGAGAGUCACGAACCGAAGAUUUACAGAUGAUUGCAGACUUGAAAACCUUGCUUGCAGAGAGAGACCAAGUCAUAAAGAAACUAAUUGAUGAUAAUAAAUUUUACCAACUGGAAUUAGUCAAUCGAGAAACUAACUUCAAUAAAAUGUUCAAUGCAAAUCCUACUGUUGGUGUUAUUAACCCUCUUGUAAAGCAAAAGAAGAAGAAUGAUAAAUCAACAAACAGAUUUGUGAGUGUUCCCAAUUUAAGUGUUCUGGAACCUAGUGGAGUGGGCAAUGGACAUCCUAACCGUCUGGAUCCUAUUCCUAAUUCACCCAUCCAUGAUAUUGAGUUCAACAGCAGCAAACCACUUCCACAGACAGUCAUACCAUCCAAAGAACCCAAGACAUUUUUGAGGAAUCAGUAAGAUGCAUGUGCAUGAGCUCAUGGAAUAUGACUACUGGAGUUUCCAUUACAAAUUGUUGCGUGACUUAUAAUUUCCCCAAAAGACGCCCUCCUCAGAGUGAAGCUUCACCAGUGGCUUCUCCAGAUCCCCAACGUCAGGAAUGGUUUGCCCGGUACUUCACAUUCUGAGAGAAUUAUUUUGAACACAGUAUUGUAUGAACUGUUAAUAAGAGCAUGACUUUAUUACAAAUUAUUAUGUGAACAGGCUUUCCUAUACCACGAUGAACACUGUGAAUGAGAAAGUAUUUGUCUCUCCAAUUUGAAAAUAUACUAUAUUUCCUGUGAUAUUUGUUUAAAUCACUCUACAAGGUACUACAUUAUGUGUGUAAUUAUAUGUUAUUUUUAUUUUAAAUGGAAGUCUUUAACCUUUGUAAUUACUGCAUAAUAAAUUUUGUUAGAACAAGC